AUUGAACGCUGGCGGCACGCCUAACACAUGCAAGUCGAGCGGCAGCGAGACUAGUAGCAAUACUAGUUGUCGGCGAGCGGCGGACGGGUGAGUAACACGUAGGAAUCUGCCCUUAAGCGGGGGAUAACCAAGGGAAACUUUGGCUAAUACCGCAUAAUCUCGAGAGAGCAAAGCUGCCCGCAAGGGUGGCACUUGAGGAGGAGCCUGCGUCCGAUUAGCUAGUUGGUUGGGUAAUGGCCUACCAAGGCGAUGAUCGGUAACUGGUCUGAGAGGACGACCAGUCCCACUGGGACUGAGACACGGCCCAGACUCCUACGGGGGGCAGCAGUGGGGAAUAUUGAACAAUGGGGGCAACCCUGAUCCAGCGAUGCAGCGUGAGUGAAGAAGGCCUUCGGGUCGUAAAGCUCUUUAGGUUGGGAAGAAGGGUAUUGGCUGAAUAAUCCAGUACUUUGACGGUACCGACAGAAUAAGCACCGGCAAACUCUGUGCCAGCAGCCGCCGUAACAC
rnacentral:rRNA from 1 species